ensembl:snRNA U6 U6 spliceosomal RNA
GUGCUUGCUUCGGCAGCACAUAUACUAAAAUUGGAACGAUAUAGAGAAGAUUAGCAUGGCCCCUGCACAAGGAUGACACGAAAAUUCAUGAAGCAUUCCAUAUUUAA